rnacentral:rRNA from 1 species
CCUACGGGCGGCAGCAGUGAGGAAUAUUGGGCAAUGGGCGCGAGACUGAACCAGCCAAGUCGCGUGAAGGAUGACUGCCCUACGGGUUGUAAACUUCUUUUAUAAAGGAAUAAAGCGAGGCACGUGUGCCUUUUUGUAUGUACUUUAUGAAUAAGGAUCGGCUAACUCCGUGCCAGCAGCCGCGGUAAUACGGAGGAUCCGAGCGUUAUCCGGAUUUAUUGGGUUUAAAGGGAGCGUAGAUGGGUUGUUAAGUCAGUUGUGAAAGUUUGCGGCUCAACCGUAAAAUUGCAAUUGAUACUGGCAGUCUUGAGUACAGUUGAGGUAGGCGGAAUUCGUGGUGUAGCGGUGAAAUGCUUAGAUAUCACGAAGAACUCCGAUUGCGAAGGCAGCUUACUAAACUGCCACUGACAUUGAUGCUCGAAAGUGUGGGUAUCAAACAGGAUUAGAUACCCCAGUAGUC